rnacentral:rRNA from 1 species
UGCAAGUCGACGAUGAACUGGCGCUUGCGUCGGGGAUUAGUGGCGAACGGGUGAGUAACACGUGAGUAACCUGCCCUUAACUCUGGGAUAAGCCUGGGAAACUGGGUCUAAUACUGGAUAUUGACUUUUCCUCGCAUGGGGUUUGGUUGAAAGAUUUUUUGGUUUUGGAUGGACUCGCGGCCUAUCAGCUUGUUGGUAUGGGUAAUGGCCUACCAAGGCGACGACGGGUAGCCGGCCUGAGAGGGUGACCGGCCACACUGGGACUGAGACACGGCCCAGACUCCUACGGGAGGCAGCAGUGGGGAAUAUUGCACAAUGGGCGAAAGCCUGAUGCAGCGACGCCGCGUGAGGGAUGACGGCCUUCGGGUUGUAAACCUCUUUCAGUAGGGAACAAGGCCACACGUUGUGUGGUUGAGGGUACUUGCAGAAGAAGCGCCGGCUAACUACGUGCCAGCAGCCGCGGUAAUACGUAGGGCGCAAGCGUUAUCCGGAAUUAUUGGGCGUAAAGAGCUCGUAGGCGGUUUGUCGCGUCUGCCGUGAAAGUCCGGGGCUCAACUCCGGAUCUGCGGUGGGUACGGGCAGACUAGAGUGAUGUAGGGGAGACUGGAAUUCCUGGUGUAGCGGUGAAAUGCGCAGAUAUCAGGAGGAACACCGAUGGCGAAGGCAGGUCUCUGGGCAUUAACUGACGCUGAGGAGCGAAAGCAUGGGGAGCGAACAGGAUUAGAUACCCUGGUAGUCCAUGCCGUAAACGUUGGGCACUAGGUGUGGGGGACAUUCCACGUUUUCCGCGCCGUAGCUAACGCAUUAAGUGCCCCGCCUGGGGAGUACGGCCGCAAGGCUAAAACUCAAAGGAAUUGACGG